CUACCUGGUUGAUCCUGCCAGUAGUCA
rnacentral:rRNA from 57 species